AAGUCGUAACAAGGUUUCCGUAGGUGAACCUGCGGAAGGAUCAUUAUUGAAUAAACUUGAACCAGGCUGUUGCUGGCCCCUCUUGGGGGGGGGUAUGUGCACGCUUGUCUCAUCUUUAUCAUUUCUCCAACUGUGCACACUUUGUAGACUCUGGAGUUUUUUUCCACUCGAGUUUUGGGAACUGCUGUGCCUUUUUAGAGGGCCAGCUUUGCCUUGCAUCUCCAGGUCUAUGUCAUUUUUUUCACAACCUCUCAAAUGUGUUUAGAAUGUUGAAUCAGGUCGUUUUGUACCUAUAAAAGUGAAAUAUACAACUUUCAGCAACGGAUCUCUUGGCUCUC
rnacentral:misc_RNA from 1 species